GUGGGGAAUAUUCCGCAAUGGCCGAAAGUCUGACGGAGCAACGCCGCGUGAGUGAUGAAGGUUUUCGGACUGUAAAGCUCUGUUGUUUAGGACGAAAGUGCCUGUUGCAAAUAGUUACAGGUAUUGACGGUACUGAUCGAGGAAGCCACGGCUAACUACGUGCCAGCAGCCGCGGUAAUACGUAGGUGGCAAGCGUUGUCCGGAAUUAUUGGGCGUAAAGAGCAUGUAGGCGGGAAUCUAAGUCUGUUGUGAAAAUGCGGGGCUAAACCCCGUAUUGCGAUGGAAACUGGGUUUCUUGAGUGCAGGAGAGGAAAGGGGAAUUCCCAGUGUAGCGGUGAAAUGCGUAGAUAUUGGGAGGAACACCAGUGGCGAAGGCGCCUUUCUGGACUGUGUCUGACGCUGAGAUGCGAAAGCCAGGGUAGCGAACGGGAUUAGAAACCCCUGUAGUCC
rnacentral:rRNA from 1 species